UGAGAGCCAGUGGUUUGAGUAUUGGACUAUGACUCUAGAGACCAGGGUUCGAGUCCCCGCUCAA